rnacentral:rRNA from 1 species
GCCCUUCAGGCCUAACACAUGCAAGUCGAGCGAUCCUUUCGGGGAUAGCGGCGGACGGGUGAGUAACGCGUGGGAAUGUGCCCUUCUCUACGGAAUAGCCUCGGGAAACUGGGAGUAAUACCGUAUACGCCCCUUGGGGGAAAGAUUUAUCGGAGAAGGAUCAGCCCGCGUUGGAUUAGGUAGUUGGUGGGGUAAUGGCCUACCAAGCCUACGAUCCAUAGCUGGUUUGAGAGGAUGAUCAGCCACACUGGGACUGAGACACGGCCCAGACUCCUACGGGAGGCAGCAAGUGGGGAAUCUUAGACAAUGGGGGCAACCCUGAUCUAGCCAUGCCGCGUGAGUGAUGAAGGCCCUUAAGGUUGUAAAGCUCUUUUCAGCUUGGGAAGAUAAUGACCGGUACCAAGCAGAAAGAAGCCCCCGGCUACUCCGUGCCAGCAGCCCGCGGUAAUAAAGGGC